CCUACGGGUGGCAGCAGUGGGGAAUAUUGCACAAUGGGGGAAACCCUGAUGCAGUGACGCCGCGUGAGUGAAGAAGUAUUUCGGUACGUAAAGCUCUAUCAGCAGGGAAGAAAAACCGGCCUUAGGGCCGCCAGACGGUACCUGACUAAGAAGCCCCGGCUAACUACGUGCCAGCAGCCGCGGUAAUACGUAGGGGGCAAGCGUUAUCCGGAUUUACUGGGGGGAAAGGGAGCGUAGACGGCAGCGCACGUCUGGAGUGAAAUGCCGGGGCCCAACCCCGGAACUGCUUUGGACACUGUGCAGCUGGAGUGCAGGAGAGGUAAGCGGAAUUCCUAGUGUAGCGGUGAAAUGCGUAGAUAUUAGGAGGAACACCAGUGGCGAAGGCGGCUUACUGGACUGUAACUGACGUUGAGGCUCGAAAGCGUGGGGAGCAAACAGGAUUAGAUACCCUUGUAGUC
rnacentral:rRNA from 1 species